rfam:Myotis lucifugus cont2.46376, whole genome shotgun sequence.
GGCAGUUCUUGGGUGACACACCCCAGAAUCAGGCUCCCUCCUCUAUAGUUCUGGGUGGGUCACCAGAGAACCGCA